AAAAAGUAUUAGAGGCACUGCCUGCCCAGUGACACACGUUAAACGGCCGCGGUAUCCUGACCGUGCAAAGGUAGCAUAAUCACUUGUUCCUUAAAUAGGGACUUGCAUGAAUGGCUAGACGAGGGUUAAUCUGUCUCUUACUUUAAAUCAGUGAAAUUGACCUUCCCGUGAAGAGGCGGGAAUAUACAAACAAGACGAGAAGACCCUAUGGAGCUUAAAUUUAUUAAUCCAAGUAACCUUUUACCCUCAGUCUACAAGACAUAACACUCUUAUCUAUGGAUUAAAAAUUUCGGUUGGGGUGACCUCGGAGCACAACCUAACCUCCGAAUGAUCUUAAUUCAGACUCAAACCCGUCUAAAUCUUUGCUCAUAAAUUGACCCAAACCAUUGAUCAACGGAACAAGUUACCCUAGGGAUAACAGCGCAAUCCUACUCGAGAGUCCAUAUCGACAGUAGGGUUUACGACCUCGAUGUUGGAUCAGGACAUCCAAAUGGUGCAGCAGCUAUUAAUGGUUCGUUUGUUCAACGAUUAAAGUC
rnacentral:rRNA from 1 species